GGGUAGAGAAUGAGUUAAAGGGCGAGAGAAAGAGCGCGCAAGGGGGAGGGGGGGGGGCGAAGUGAGGUAGGAAGAGAGGAAGGAAGGGAGGAGAAGGUGCGAAGGGGGAAUACUGUAAAGCGCAAGCGUGGCACCGUGUGGCGCGUGUUAGAAGUUGGCUCGAAACUCGGGUUUAGUCUCUUCCGUCCCUUUGUCCGUUCUCGUCCCUGCCGAGUUCUUCGACUAAAUCCCGUCGGACACACGUGUUGCGCCACUGAAAAACGACGGACUUGAACGGAUUGUUUUCACUUCAACUUAGGACGACUAGAAAGAGAAUUAUGUACGAAAAGAGUUACCUCAUGGUCCCUGCGUUCUUUGUGAUCGUGGUGUGAGCAAGGUGACGGCAAAUCACGAAUCCGAUUCAGCAGCAAAUGGUCCACGAAUUCUCUUAUUCAUUCGGUCCGAAUAGGUUCGAUACGUUUGUAACCCAAAGGUGAAGCCGCUGCCGCACUUGGCAGACUUCGAUCAGAAGUAUUUCUUAACGAUUGUCGGAUUUAUUUUUACACGUCCGAUUCA